CUACGGGCGGCAGCAGUGAGGAGUUUUGCGCAAUGGGGGAAACCCUGACGCAGCAACGCCGCGUGAGCGAAGAAGGCCUUCGGGUCGUAAAGCUCUGUCAAGUGGGAAAAAACGUUUUCCGGUCAAUAGCCGGGAGAUCUGAUGGUACCGCUGAAGGAAGCACCGGCUAACUCCGUGCCAGCAGCCGCGGUAAUACGGAGGGUGCAAGCGUUGUUCGGAAUUAUUGGGCGUAAAGAGCGUGUAGGCGGUUUGGUAAGUCAGAUGUGAAAGCCCCGGGCUCAACCCGGGAAGUGCAUUUGAAACUGCUUUACUUGAGUAUGGGAGAGGAGAGUGGAAUUCCUGGUGUAGAGGUGAAUUUCGUAGAUAUCAGGAGGAACAUCUGUGGCGAAGGCGACUCUCUGGACCAAUACUGACGCUGAGACGCGAAAGCGUGGGUAGCAAACAGGAUUAGAUACCCUAGUAGUC
rnacentral:rRNA from 1 species